GACGAACGCUGGCGGCGUGCUUAACACAUGCAAGUCGAACGAUGAAGAAGAGAAACGCGAACUUCGGUUCAAAUUUCACUUCGGAUUAGUGGCAGACGGGUGAGUAACGCGUGAGCAACCUAUCUCUUACAAAGGGAUAGCCUCGGGAAACCGUGAUUAAUACCAUAUGACACAUUCAUAAGGCAUCUUAAGAAUGUUAAAGCUACGGCGGUAAGAGAUGGGCUCGCGUCCCAUUAGCUAGUUGGUGAGGUAACGGCCCACCAAGGCGACGAUGGGUAACCGGCCUGAGAGGGUGAACGGUCACAUUGGAACUGAGACACGGUCCAAACUCCUACGGGAGGCAGCAGUGGGGAAUAUUGCACAAUGGAGGGAACUCUGAUGCAGCGACGCCGCGUGAGCGAUGAAGGAAUUCGUUUCGUAAAGCUCUGUUCUAUGGGAAGAAAAGGACUGUACCAUAGGAGAAAGCCCCGGCUAAAUACGUG
rnacentral:rRNA from 1 species